GCCCAACUCCCCUGAUGCUCUGCACCCCGUUUGUUGGGAGGUGUUGAGCUGCUGUGAAGCUUCCUAGAGAUGCCAAUCUGGGUCGUUAUCAAGCAAGCCUGUAGGAUUCAGAAAUAAUCUAUUGCAUCUUGUGCAGUGGUCUUGAAGUAUGGCGCAGUUAUGACAAGGAACUGCACUCACCAAUGGAAUAGCUAGAAGUAAUCAAGCUGAUGGCCAUUGUAUCCCGGUGAUUGGAGACCACGUGGUGGUGGGUCUCACUGUCGGGAGUAGCGCCGGAGUGGGUGACGAAGAUUGAUGAGGCGGGGCCUUCUUCAGUUACAAGUCACACAUGUUGUGGCUGUCAAGAUCUAUGGUGCACAUAAUCCACCUCAUGCAGUUGUUCGCCAACGUCUGUCUGAACCAGUUCAAGCAGUAUUCUCGGCCAUGACGUGGUGCCUCCCUGGACUCGCAACUUGCCGAGUGCACCGCGCUGCAAUACCCAGAGGUGCAUCCGCGCCGGCGGCAAGCACAACGACCCCGAUGAUAUGUGAGCCGCCGGGGCGAGGAGCCUACCUCCGCACCACUGCCUAAGGCGAGGGGCUCCCCAGAACUGCUGCUCCAUUACGCUCCUCUCUUGAGGUAU